AGGACGAACGCUGGCGGCAUGCUUAACACAUGCAAGUCGAACGAGGUGCUUCGGCACUUAGUGGCGAACGGGUGAGUAACACGUGAGCAACCUGCCCUUGGCUCUGGGAUAGCCUCCGGAAACGGGGAUUAAUACCGGACAUGACCUUCCCCGGCAUCGGGGUUGGUGGAAAGUUUUUCGGCCAGGGAGGGGCUCGCGGCCUAUCAGCUUGUUGGGGGGGUAACGGCCCACCAAGGCGACGACGGGUAGCC
rnacentral:rRNA from 1 species